rnacentral:snoRNA from 14 species
CCUACAUGAUGACAAACAAAUGCUGACUAAUGUGAAGAUCUUAAUUAGCUCUAUCUGAUGU